UUACUGCUUGGGAACUGAUAGUCUAGAGUGAGGGAGAGGCAGAUGGAAUUGGUGGUGUAGGGGUAAAAUCCGUAGAUAUCACCAAGAAUACCCAUUGCGAAGGCGAUCUGCUGGAACUCAACUGACGCUAAGGCGCGAAAGCGUGGGGAGCAAACAGGAUUAGAUACCCUGGUAGUCCACGCCCUAAACGAUGUACACUAGUUGUUGGGGUGCUAGUCAUCUCAGUAAUGCAGCUAACGCAUUAAGUGUACCGCCUGGGGAGUACGGUCGCAAGAUUAAAACUCAAAGGAAUAGACGGGGACCCGCACAAGCGGUGGAGCAUGUGGUUUAAUUCGAAGAUACGCGAAGAACCUUACCUGGGCUUGAUAUCCUAAGAACCUUUUAGAGAUAAGAGGGUGCUAGCUUGCUAGAACUUAGAGACAGGUGCUGCACGGCUGUCGUCAGCUCGUGUCGUGAGAUGUUGGGUUAAGUCCCGCAACGAGCGCAACCCACGUAUUUAGUUGCUAACGGUUCGGCCGAGCACUCUAAAUAGACUGCCUUCGUAAGGAGGAGGAAGGUGUGGACGACGUCAAGUCAUCAUGGCCCUUAUGCCCAGGGCGACACACGUGCUACAAUGGCAUAUACAAUGAGACGCAAUACCGCGAGGUGGAGCAAAUCUAUAAAAUAUGUCCCAGUUCGGAUUGUUCUCUGCAACUCGAGAGCAUGAAGCCGGAAUCGCUAGUAAUCGUAGAUCAGCCAUGCUACGGUGAAUACGUUCCCGGGUCUUGUACUCACCGCCCGUCACACCAUGGGAGUUGAUUUCACUCGAAGCCGGAAUACUAAACUAGUUUACCG
rnacentral:rRNA from 1 species